ACAUGGUGAACAGAUUAUGUCUG
rnacentral:siRNA from 1 species